rnacentral:rRNA from 1 species
AGCAGCCGCGGUAAUUCCAGCUCCAAUAGCGUAUAUUAAAGUUGUUGCAGUUAAAAAGCUCGUAGUUGAAUUUCGGGACCAAUAUGUUGGUCGUGCCUCGGUACGCACUGGCUUAUUGGUUUCUCCUUUCUAAAGAACCAUGAUGUCAUUCAUUUGGUGUCGUGGGGAAUCAGGACUGUUACUUUGAAAAAAUUAGAGUGUUUAAAGCAGGCUCACGCUUGAAUACAUUAGCAUGGAAUAAUGAAAUAGGACGUUUGAUUCUAUUUUGUUGGUUUCUAGGAUCGACGUAAUGAUUAAUAGGGAUAGUUGGGGGCAUUAGUAUUCAAUUGUCAGAGGUGAAAUUCUUGGAUUUAUUGAAGACUAACUACUGCGAAAGCAUUUGCCAAGGAUGUUUUCAUUAAUCAAGAACGAAAGUUAGGGGAUCGAAGACGAUCAGAUACCGUCGUAGUCUUAAACCAUAAACUAUGCCGACUAGGGAUCGGAUGAUGUUAAUUUUUAAUGACUCAUUCGGCGCCUUAAC